rnacentral:tRNA from 1 species
GCCAAUGUAGCUCAGGGGUAGAGCACUUCCUUGGUAAGGAAGAGGUCACGGGUUCAAAUCCCGCCGUUGGCU